UGUAUAGAGUGGCGCACGGGUGAGUAACACGUAGGUUAUCUACCUCCGAGUGGGGAAUAACAGUCGGAAACGACUGCUAAUACCGCAUAAUACCGAAAGGUCAAAGCUUUAGUGCUUGGAGAGGAGCCUGCGGCAGAUUAGCUAGUUGGUAAGGUAAUGGCUUACCAAGGCGACGAUCUGUAUCCGGUCUAAGAGGACGGUCGGACACACUGACACUGAAUAACGGGUCAG
rnacentral:rRNA from 1 species